rnacentral:rRNA from 1 species
AUUGAACGCUGGCGGCAGGCCUAACACAUGCAAGUCGAGCGAGCGGCGGACGGGUGAGUAAUGUCUGGGAAACUGCCUGAUGGAGGGGGAUAACUACUGGAAACGGUAGCUAAUACCGCAUACCAUCAGAUGUGCCCAGAUGGGAUUAGCUAGUAGGUUGGGUGACGGCUCACCGAGGCGACGAUCCCUAGCUGGUCUGAGAGGAUGACCAGCCACGCAGGGACUGAGACACGGUCCAGACUCCUACGGGGGGGAGCAGUGGGGAAUAUUGCACAAUGGGCGCAAGCCGGAUGCAGCCAUGCCGAGUGUGGGAAGAAGGCCUUCGGGUUGUAAAGCACUUUCAGCGGGGAGGCGUUACCCGCAGAAGAAGCACCGGCUAACUCCGUGCCAGCAGCCGCGGUAAUAC